GACGAACGCUGGCGGCGUGCUUAACACAUGCAAGUCGAACGGAAAGGCCCUGCUUUUGUGGGGUGCUCGAGUGGCGAACGGGUGAGUAACACGUGAGUAACCUGCCCUUGACUUAGGGAUAACUUCAGGAAACUGGGGCUAAUACCGGAUAGGAGCUCUUGCAGCAUGGUGGGGGUUGGAAAGUUUCGGCGGUUAGGGAUGGACUCGCGGCUUAUCAGCUUGUUGGUGGGGUAGUGGCUUACCAAGGCUUCGACGGGUAGCCGGCCUGAGCGGGUGACCGGCCACAUUGGGACUGAGAUACGGCCCAGACUCCUACGGGAGGCAACAGUGGGGAAUAUUACACAAUGGGCGGAAGCCUGAUGCAGCAACGCCGCGUGCGGGAUGACGGCCUUCGGGUUGUAAACCGCUUUCGCCUGUGACGAAGCGUGAGUGACGGUAAUGGGUAAAGAAGCACCGGCUAACUACGUG
rnacentral:rRNA from 1 species